CUUCUGCAAGAAGAGAUCAGGACACAGACACACACAGAGGGGGACCCUGGAGGACACAGAAUGCAGGAGCCCAGGAGGGGACCUGGGGAGACACAGACCCUGCUGAUGGGCACAUUUUAGACGUGGCUUCCAGAACGGAGGACAUACGUCUGGAUGUGAAGCCACUGGGUGGCACUUGGUCAAGGCAGCCCUGGCAAACUACCCUCCAUCUGGUGGUAUUGCGCGUCUUUUCCUGCUCAGAGAACGUCACCUGUCCCUCGUCCCGUCCCCUAGGAGCACUUCUGAGCCUUCCUGUCAUGGGUACAUAAGUCUGGGUGGCGUCUGGAAGGAAGGUGUGUUCACGAUUCAAUCCCAGCUAAUGGAUUGUGUCACUUUCCAUUUUUGCUCUUCCUGCUCAACCUGCCCCCCAGUUCCCAGUGCUCGAGAAGAACAGAAUCUGCGUGAUGGAAGCCCUCGCGCAGGGCGGGGGGGAUGGGAAGGCCCGAGAUGGCUGGCUGCGGGUCCAGGACUCCUGCUCUGGCCACGCGGGCGGCCCCCUCUUCUCCCCUGGGCCCAGUUUAGAGCACUUACAUUCUCACCUGCGGCUUCCACGUUCUUUCAGCGAGAGUCCUCCAUGGACACAGGUCCGCCAUUUGUGUCUUGGGUGUUGAAGCUCAUCCUCUGGUUGUGCCUUCGAGAAAGGUCCCCGGUGCCAUCCUCCCUGCAUUCCAGUGUCCUUGGAAAUCCUUGUCUGCAGACAAGACUGGGAAACCAGGGUAGUUAUAAAACUUUGGGGUCAACCAAGCACAGCAGCUUGUGUCUAUGAUCCCAGUAACCUGGGAGGCUGAGGCAGGAGGCUCCCAAGGUCAAGGUCAGCCUCUGCAACUUAGCGGAACCCUGCCUCAGAAGCAAAACUGAAAAGGGCCGGGGAUGGGGCUCAGUGGUGAAGCUGGGUUCCAUCCCUAGUACCCAAAAGAGUAAAUAAACAAAUAAAACUCUGGGUCCUGCUCUCUCUCCCUGAGGACGGGCUAAGCCCAGUCCAACACUGAAUGCUGCUGUGGAAAAUUCUUUUACGGAUGACUUUAUCUUUUCGCCUGGAUGUUCAAAUAAUUUUUUUAAAAAAGUUCAGUACAUUUGCUAAGACGUUAAUGUUCCAUCAUUUUUUCCCUAGGACAUAAUGUACGUGUUCUUUUAUGAAAUUUAAUUUUCAUUCUUAUCUAAGUCAAACAUGUACAUUGUUUAAAGUCACUCAGUCCUAUGUGCCAUGAUUUAAAACACCAGUCAGUCCUCUGCAGUUGGGACCUUCUUGCUUAUUGCUCCCCGGGGGGCCAAUACUCCCAGAUGUCCAGCUUUAUAUUUACCCUCUGUGGUGGACCCUGUUGAGCAGCUUGCUCAACACCCAUUUCUAAUUCUCUCUUCUUUCACGAUCUUCUAACUGGGGAGUGAU
rnacentral:lncRNA from 1 species